GGCCUUCCCAGACUUAAAAGAGCGGCUGAGGCGUAAGCAGCUGGCGGCUGGUGACAUCGCCCUGGACAAGCUAGGGGAAAGGCUAGCCAUCCUCCUCAAGGUGCGAGACAUGGUCAGCAGCCAUGUGGAGCGAGUGUUUCAGAUCUAUGAGCAACACGCAGACACAGUUGGCAUUGAUGCUGUCCUGCAGCCUUCAGCAGUGAGCCCCUCUGUGGCUGACAUGUUGGAAUGGUUGCAGGAUAUUGAGAGACAUUAUCGAAAGUCAAAGGUACCUGAAGAGAAAGUAUCUUCUUUCGUCUAUCCAGUGGGGAGACUUGGCAAAUAUACAAGCUUUGCCCAAGGCCUGGGACCGAAUUUCAAAAGACGAACACCAAGAUCUUGUACAAGAUAUCCUAUUGAAUGUUUCCUUCUUCCUGGAAGAGUAAGGAAGCUGUGCGUAUCUGGAGACCACGGGCACCACAGUUGAAGACUGACAUUCUGAACCCUGAUGUUUCUAAAGAAACGUCAGUAUUUCAGUCUGACAUAUUUGAAAUAUCAGUGCCUUGAACCUUAGGACUGGGUCUUGGGGAGGAUUAGCGCCUAGAUGUCUGAUUUUGGAGCUGCAGCAUGCCAGGCCGUGGCUGAGAGUAUGUGAGCCAUGCCUUGCCCUUUUCUGAGGCUCAGGGAAGUGGAUGGAGCUAGAGAGACAACAGGAAAGACGGUGCUGAAGAACAUAGUGUCUUUCCUCUAUUGUGGACCUGAAGAUGUGGGGAAGCAAGGACAAGAGGCAAAGAGCCACACUGCCCUUGGCAUCAUCCAAAGCAUUGUCUGGU
rnacentral:sRNA from 1 species